rnacentral:piRNA from 5 species
UGCAAAGCUGAAACUUAAAGGAA